GUAAGAUUAGUUCAAUGGUAGAACGUUUGCUUGUGGCGCGAAUAAUACCAGUUCAAUUCUGGUAUCUUAUC
rnacentral:tRNA from 1 species